UUCAGGCAGCAGCACGCCGGCUAAACUCAAACCGCAAGAACGUGGAGAUUGAAUCAAUUGGUGUUGCUGGGAAAUUCAGUUCUCAACAAAGCAUAAAGAAAUACUUCAGAAUGGAGUUAACUGAAAAAAGGCAGGAGAAUAAAGAGGAUGAUUUAGACUCUAGAGCACUUGAAGAGGGAUAUGUUACUGUCACCCCUUUGUCUGUAUAUGAAUAUGGUGACAUGGAAAUUCAAUCAUCAGUCUCCAGUUGGUUAGCUACUGGAGUCAGUGGAGAUCAAUGAGCAAUUUGCAUUGUAAUUGUGGCAAUUUGAAAGUGAGAGAGUAAUGCUUGGCAAGUUUGAUAUUAUGCGAUCUUAGAAAGUAUAUCAUGUGUCAUUGGCCAGAUUCUGUUCCAUUAACUUAAUCUAUAUAUUCCUAGUCCACAA